rnacentral:lncRNA from 1 species
GGUGCCGGCACAGAGGAGGAGAGGUGGACAUAAAUUUCAGAGAAUCUUCCCUGCCUCCUCUAAUCCCAUGCCAAGAAAUAUGACAGAUUCUAGGCCCAGAGAGGCCAAGAAGAUGAAAACAUUUCUGGCACUUUCUAAAGUUUCUGUCCAGAAAAGCCAUCAGCUGAGGGGGCGCAGGAUGACAAAUGGCUGCCGGAUCUGCAGGUUCCGGGUUCUGAGACAGGA